UACAGAGGGGGCAAGCGUUGUUCGGAAUUACUGGGCGUAAAGGGCGCGUAGGCGGCCUGUUAAGUCGAACGUGAAAUCCCCGGGCUCAACCCGGGAACUGCGUCCGAUACUGGCGGGCUUGAAUUCGGGAGAGGGAUGUGGAAUUCCAGGUGUAGCGGUGAAAUGCGUAGAUAUCUGGAGGAACACCGGUGGCGAAGGCGGCAUCCUGGACCGACAUUGACGCUGAGGCGCGAAAGCCAGGGGAGCAAACGGG
rnacentral:rRNA from 1 species